rnacentral:rRNA from 1 species
CCGAAUUAGUCGACAACCUGGUUGAUCCUGCCAGUAGUCAUAUGCUUGUCUCAAAGAUUAAGCCAUGCAUGUUUAAGUAUAAACCGCUUGUACCGCAAGGUGCAAAACGGGUGAAACUGCGAAUGGCUCAUUAAAUCAGCAAUCGUUUAUUUGAUUGUGCGCUAUUGUGGUGUUUGGUUUGGGGGUUCGCCUCUGGAUCAAAGUCCGCAAAUGGCUACAUGGAUAACCGUGGUAAUUCAAGAGCUAAUACAUGAAGGAAAAAACAAGGUUGACUUUUCGCAAGUGAGGAAGACCCGCAUUUAUUAGAUACAUACGAAAACCGGAACUUCUGAGGGGUUAAAGCCUCAGGGGCCAAAGAGUUGGCGAUUCAUAAUGACUGCGCGAAUCGCAUGGCCCUCACUCUCGGGUGGGAAUGGCUGGCGAUGGAUCAUUCAAAUUUCUGCCCCAUCAACUUUCGAUGGUUGGAUCAAGGCCAACCAUGGUGAUGACGGGUAACGGAGAAUUGGGGUUCGAUUCCGGAGAGGGAGCCUGGAGAAACGGCUCCCACUUCCAAGGAAGGCAGCAGGCGCGCAAAUUGCCCAAUCCUGACACAGGGAGGCAGUGACAAGAAAUAACAAUGCAGGACUCUUGAAAUAUAGGGACUGCAAUUGGAAUGAGCACAAUUUAAAACGCUUUCGCGAGGAACAAUUGGAGGGCAAGUCUGGUGCCAGCAGCCGCGGUAAUUCCAGCUCCAAUAGCGUAUGCUAAAAUUGCUGUADUUGAAAAGCUCGUAGUUGGAUUUCGGCGUAAAAAGGAUGGGAUGAGAAUUUGGAAACAAAGCACUCGCCUAUCCCUUGAGAUAUCACUGUGCAGGGAAGAAGUUCUCUAUGAGGAUCAUCUUUGUGCAGGGUCUCUUUACGCCUUUUUCUUGAAUUUCUCUUCGGAGAGAGACGAGAACGGAUUGGCUGGAUGCUCGCAUGCAAUUCUUUACUGAUUUGUGUGUCUCUUUUGGGCUGUGGCUUUGGUUUCGGCUAGAGUUGCAGUCCAAGGGUUUGUUGCCUGUGGGAUUUAUCCAUGAGUAAUAGAGCUCCAGUCCGUUUACCUUGAGCAAAACAGAGUGUUCAAAGCAGGCCUAAACUCGGCAGCAAUGUCGAGAAACGCCUUGCAUGCUUCAGCAUGGGAUAAUGGAACAGGACUAGGUUGGGUCACGCACAUAUUUCGUUUGGUUUUCAGGCGUGAAAAAAUAGAAUUAACACUUCACCCAGCCGGUGAUGAUUGAUAGGGACAGUCGGGGGCAUUGGUAUUUAAUUGUCAGAGGUGAAAUUCUUGGAUUAAUUAAAGACCAACUUCAGCGAAGGCAUUUGUCAAGGAUGUUUUCAUUUAAUCAAGAACGAAAGUUGGGGGAUCGAAGAUGAUCAGAUACCGUCGUAGUCCCAACCGUAAACGAUGCCGACCAGGGAUCGGGAGUGGAAGUAUAAAAAGGCGAAAGUUUUCAUUCCUUCGGGACUUGGGAGCUCUAGCUGAAUCGUCCCUCCCGGCACCUUACACAUAAUAAUCUUUCCGGGAAACCACGAGUCUUUGGGUUCUGGGGGGAGUCUGGUCGCAAGGCUGAAACUUAAAGGAAUUGACGGAAGGGCACCACCAGGAGUGGAGCCUGCGGCUUAAUUUGACUCAACACGGGGAAACUCACCAGGUCCAGACUUGACGAGGAUUGACAGAUUGACAGCUCUUUCUUGAUUUCAAGGGUGGUGGUGCAUGGCCGUUCUUAGUUGGUGGAGCGAUCUGUCUGGUUAAUUCCGAUAACGAACGAGACCUCGGCCUACUGAAUAGCGAUACCAAUCCUGCUUUCAAUCUCAUAAAAGAGGAAUGAUUAGGAUGAAAAGCCCCUCACGGGGUCGGAUUUCUAGUUGUCCACCUCUUUUGCAGAGUCGGGAUUUUCUGGGUUGGUGUGAGAGGCAACUCUCAUGCCCUUGGAUGCCCGGUUAUCUGCCGAUAGUCGGAUUGCCGUAGCACGCUUCUCAGAGGGACCACUUCGCGCUAAAAGCCAGCGAGUGGAAGAUCGRGGCAAUAACAGGUCUGUGAUGCCCUUCAGAUGUUCUGGGCCGCACGCGCGCUACACUGACGGAGACCAACGAGCGAUGGCGACAUUGGAUCAGGUUGCGUUUUAUGGUAGCAAUACUAUAGAGCGUGGCUUCCAAUGUCGGCGACCUCGGCCGAAACAGGCUCGGGGCAAUCUUGGUAAACUCCGUCGUGCUGGGGAUCGAUCCUUGCAACUGUGGGUCGUCAACGAGGAAUUCCUCGUAGGCGCGGUUCAUCAGACCGCGCCGAAUGCGUCCCUGCCCUUUGUACACACCGCCCGUCGCUCCUACCGAUUGAAUGGUCCGGUGAAGUCUUUGGAGCUGGGGCUCUGCCUAUUCCUUCGGGAGUAGGCUUUUGAGCCUCUUGCYGUGGCGAAGUUGACUGAACCUUACCAUUUAGAGGAAGGAGAAGUCGUAACAAGGUAUCCGUAGGUGAACCUGCAGAAGGAUCAAGCUUGGAUCCCGGG